CAGGAACAGCACAGCAGUGGCAAAUUGUUUUCGUACCCCCAUGGAGCAGAGAAAACAUUUUCUUGUUUUUUAAAAAACACUAAUAUUUUAAAAACAUGAAGAGAAAAGCAAGAAUAUCUCUUUAGCAGAGCAGAGUAAGAAGCUUAAAAAGCCCCAACGUUUCCACAGCUGGCCACAACUACAGAGGGAGCAUCAGUCACCAUGCACUGAGGGUAAACUCAGAGCUCAGCCUGCCCUUUGGCCAAGAUGGUAACAGUAGAGUGUUUAAAUGUUUUGUUUGUUUUGUUUGAUAUGUGUGAAUGUUUUGCCUGCAUGCAUGUGUUUAGUGCCCACAAAGGGCAGAAAGGGCACCAUAUCACCUGGAUCUGGAAUGACAGAUAUUUGUCAGUCACUAGGUAGGAGGUGUGAAUUGAACUUGGGUCCUCUACAAGGGCAGUCAGUGCUCUUAACCAGAUCCACGUCAGAAUUUCAUUCUACUAUAAGUGCCAUGAACAACCUAAACCUGACAGGCAGCUUCAUGAUAUCUUCCAAUUUUGAAUGGUAACACCACCAGAGAAGUUUGGUAAAUAUGUCAGAAACACUUGGCUUGGUUGCUGAGCUAGAAGCUGCAGGCACAGAGGUGUGUCUACUGCUGCUUGCUGUGAGGACUGGGUCCAAGUUGUCAGGAAUCACAUCUUGGAAGUCGGAAGCCAGAUCAUCACUGCCGAAUCAUAAUUCACUAGUUCAGCUGCAUUUACAUAGCACUAUAUCCAAUGAUCUUGACCAGAUCCCUCAAGCUCCUGCACUGUGACCUCCAAGCUCUGAGGGACAGCAACACGGAAUGAUGGGCCGAAAUAAAACCUUUU
ensembl:lincRNA Gm43538 predicted gene 43538